GACAGAGGGUGCAAGCGUUGUUCGGAAUUACUGGGCGUAAAGGGCGCGUAGGCGGUCCGCUAAGUUCGGCGUGAAAUCCCCUGGCUCAACUGGGGAACGGCGCUGGAUACUGGUGGACUCGAGUACCGGAGAGGAGAGUGGAAUUCCUGGCGUAGCGGUGAAAUGCGUAGAUAUCAGGAGGAACACCGGUGGCGAAGGCGGCUCUCUGGACGGAUACUGACGCUGAGGCGCGAAAGCGUGGGGAUCAAACAGG
rnacentral:rRNA from 1 species